rnacentral:rRNA from 1 species
GACGAACGCUGGCGGCGUGCCUAAUACAUGCAAGUAGAACGCUGAAGAGAAGAGCUUGCUCUUCUUGGAUGAGUUGCGAACGGGUGAGUAACGCGUAGGUAACCUGCCUGGUAGCGGGGGAUAACUAUUGGAAACGAUAGCUAAUACCGCAUAAAAUUGAUUAUUGCAUGAUAAUUAAUUGAAAGAUGCAAUUGCAUCACUACCAGAUGGACCUGCGUUGUAUUAGCUAGUUGGUGAGGUAACGGCUCACCAAGGCGACGAUACAUAGCCGACCUGAGAGGGUGAUCGGCCACACUGGGACUGAGACACGGCCCAGACUCCUACGGGAGGCAGCAGUAGGGAAUCUUCGGCAAUGGGGGGAACCCUGACCGAGCAACGCCGCGUGAGUGAAGAAGGUUUUCGGAUCGUAAAGCUCUGUUGUAAGAGAAGAACGGGUGUGAGAGUGGAAAGUUCACACUGUGACGGUAUCUACC